rnacentral:piRNA from 1 species
UGUCAGGCACCAUGCUGAUCAGGAGG